UUACCAUCUUUCUCUGUGGCAUUGAAAGAAGCAGAUUCCUCAACAAAGGAUCAGGUUUCAGUGUAUGGUAUGGCAAUUUUCCAUGAACAUAUGCAUGGAACUCAUCGUUGUCGAAUUUGUAACCCAGUGCCUGUCAACAAAAAGAGGAACAAAGAAGUUUCAGUGGAUCACGGCUAAUUUGACAUGCUUCUUGAUCAAGUAGAAGUUCACACCUUAAGACCAGCUAUUGUUGUCCCAUACUCUUUGUACAAUUCCAGGGACAUUUCUGGGAUUUGGCUUUCUUCUAUUUGGAGAUGGUGCAGCAUGUAAUCUGUGGUUCAACACAAUUCAACCCUGAGAUCAGUGUGAUAACUCAUUGCCUGGCUAUAUAUUUAUCUCGAAAGACCAGGAUAAUUCAUUUCAGAUAAAUGGAAGUAAUCAGAAGAGACUGGAUUUAUGGAAUCAGAUGUAAUGCUGCUGCAGCUAAAUUUUACCUUCAAUGUUCUUGCCACAAGCGACACAGAUGCCUGAACUAAAAGGAUAUAAGGUAUCAUCCAAAUCUGAAAAUUAGUGAAUAGGUAUGUAAGGCUUCAUUAAAGAUCAGAUCAAAUAUAACUGUGUCUGAAGUCUGAACUCACCAAAGAGCAGACACUCGUACUUGGAUUCACUUACAGCAGCUUCCAUUCUCAAAUUUUGUUCCCUCAAAGACUGAAACAUAAGCACAAUAAUCAUUAGAGAGCCCCUGAAGAAUCAGAAAGACCAUCAUGCUUCACUCAAGAUAGGGGAAUGAGAUCAACAGAUCAAAUGCAACAUGAAAAGCUGAAACAAAAAUGAGAGAAGAAAAAGAGAGAAGUUAGAGAGAAGCAUCAACAAUACCACCUUCACAGGAAGACCCUAAUUGAAGAAACAAAGAGUACGCCAGUAUGGAUGAUUAGAGUGAUUUCUCAUGAGGAUCGAUUUAUACUAAUUAAGGAAUCAAGAUUGUUGGGUAUGGGGGAUGACACUUGCAAUUAUUCCAGUGGGAUAUGGUAAGAAAGCGUAUAUUACUUUUAUACAUUGAAUAAAGCAGUGGAUCUGCUUUUGUGCUUUCCUAAACAGAUCCAAGCGUUCACUCAUACAGACUGAAGCCAAGUGUGGGAAAGAAUACCCUCAAGGAAUUCACUGCUACAGAGUCGAUUUGUCCAUGCGAUUUGAAUAAAAAUAAAUAUAGAAAGUUGACUUGACUUGCAGGGUCAUGGAGGAACCUUUACAUAUGUUCAAUGCAAGCCUUCCAUUUACUUGGCAUAUCCAGGUUCUACCUCUCUUCUCUGUUCUUUGCUAUAUGGCCACUGACUGCUAAAUUCCAACUUGUAUCUAGCAUCAACUUCUGGAAUCGGGGAGGAGCAGUUUGCUAGGAUUCUACAGAAUUUAGUGAAGGAUGAGAGGUUUAUUCUACUUGUGCCUUCUUCUUCUUCUUCUUUCAGUGGCAUGCUCUGAUAGGACACAUGCAGUGUGGACAACUAGAUAUUGUGGAACGAAUUGGAGAAAAGGCAGAAAAGAAGGUUGGUCUGAGUUAGAUAAGCAUGGAAAGGAGGAUGAUCUAAUACAACGCAACCAGCCUUUAAUUAGCGGAUCAUGAGGUUGAAGAUCCUAAUAGACUGUCUGAGCAAUUGGAGGAGCUCAGUCGGAAUACGAGGGGAUGUAAGCUGUAGGUGUCAAUCCACAUUCCUUUCUGGAACAACCAAAUUCAGGAGAUGUCGAAUCCUACAAAACUACGUCGGGGGUGUAUUAGGUAAAAUUUCUUUGAUGCUUGAGUUAGUUUGGGAGUUAGGUGUCGAUGAGGAGCCGAGAAUGGUAAAGCCGAAGGCACUAAUUGAAUGAGACAAUCUCGCACUUGAGAAACCUUUUGUAGUGUGACUUAGGAUCAUUAUACUGAUAGACGUGUAUUGAUGUCGGGGAUUGUUUCACGUAUUCCCCAUCCCAGGUGAAAUUGUGUUAAAUCGAAUCUAGAGAAUAUGUAACGGGUCAGUAACAUUUGGAGAGUGUCGUCAUGUCAGCCACACAUGAUGGAAGUGAACAUAACAUUGAGAUAUUAGUUAUUUGAUACUAAGAUGUCGGCCAUAUAAUACUGAAGUAUUGGUCACAUUAUUAUUUUUC